rnacentral:rRNA from 1 species
GGCGGCGUGCUUAACACAUGCAAGUCGAACGGUGAAGCGCUUGCCUUUUUGGUGGGUGUGGAUGAGUGGCGAACGGGUGAGUAACACGUGAGUAACCUGCCCUCUUUUCUGGAUAACCUCAUGAAAGUGGGGCUAAUACGGGGUAUUCCGGGUCUGUCGCAUGGCGGGUUUGGGAAAGAUUGCGCCUUUGGGUGUUUUCGGUGGGGGAUGGGCUCGCGGCCUAUCAGCUUGUUGGUGGGGUGAUGGCCUACCAAGGCGGUGACGGGUAGCCGGCCUGAGAGGGUGGACGGCCACACUGGGACUGAGACACGGCCCAGACUCCUGCGGGAGGCAGCAGUGGGGAAUAUUGCACAAUGGGCGCAAGCCUGAUGCAGCGACGCCGCGUGAGGGAUGGAGGCCUUCGGGUUGUGAACCUCUUUCGCCAGUGAAGCAGGCCUGCUUCCUGUGUGGGUGGGUUGACGG